GAUUAACGCUGGCGGCGUGCCUAACACAUGCAAGUCGAACGAGGUAGCAAUACCUAGUGGCAGACGGGUGAGUAACGCGUGGUCAACCUACCGUUGAGUGGGGGAUAACUAGCCGAAAGGUUAGCUAAUACCGCAUACGUCUCCGAGGGGCAUCCCUUGGCGAUAAAAGGAGCAAUCCGCUCGAUGACGGGACCGCGUCCCAUUAGCUAGAUGGUGGGGUAACGCCUACCAUGGCACCGANGGGGUAGCUGGUUUGAGAGAGCGACCAGCCACACUGGGACUGAGAAACGGCCCAGACUCCUACGGGAGGCAGCAGUGAGGAAUUUUCCGCAAUGGGCGCAAGCCUGACGGAGCGACGCCGCGUGUGGGAAGAAGGCC
rnacentral:rRNA from 1 species